rnacentral:rRNA from 1 species
UACGGGGGGGGCAAGCGUUGUUCGGAAUUACUGGGCGUAAAGGGCGCGUAGGCGGUUCGCUAAGUUGAAUGUGAAAACUCUGGGCUUAACCCAGAGCCUGCAUUCAAUACUGGCGGGCUAGAGUUCUGGAGGGGAUAGCGGAAUUCCUGGUGUAGCGGUGAAAUGCGUAGAUAUCGGGAGGAACACCGAUGGCGAAGGCAGGUCUCUGGGCCACUACUGACGCUGAGAAGCGAAAGCAUGGGGAGCGAACAGG